rnacentral:tRNA from 1 species
GUUAGAGCGCACCCCUGAUAAGGGUGAGGUCGGUGGUUCAAGUCCACUCAGGCCUACCA